rnacentral:snoRNA from 1 species
GUCAGAUGAUUUGAAUCGAUAACUUGAUGGCUCUGUGAAGUAUGACAGUUAUAGCAUGUUAGAGUUCUGAUGGCA